AUUAGUAUUUAAGUGGUUAAAGAAUUCCUGUGGUGUUUCAAUUCAAAAGGAAUUUGUGUGGAUUAAAAAAUCUGUGACGAAUCGAUGGUCCGAAGUUUUAGCAAAUAUAUCUCAACAUGUGCAGUUAUUCAGUUGCAUUAAUAACCAGGCAAUGUUUGAGUGAAAGAAUUGUAAAAAACAAAAAUCAAUUAUGAGCCGCGAGGAAGCAAAAUACUGUUGCAAGGUCGGGAUUUUUCCAAAUUUCACAAAAACUGCAUUAAAUCGAAAACCGUAAGGAUUUGGGAUGAACAAGUUACCAAGUUCUGAGAGCCCUAAGGUUGGCUUAUCAGCAUAUUUCGUAUGAUCCAUUACUUUUGGGACACCCUGUAUAUCUAGUUAUGCAUUCAUAAAAAAAAGUUGAGAUAACAAUUUUCCAUGAUAUUACGAUGAUAGAGAAUGCGAAAAAGUGGGUCUCGAAAGUUCGUCUGUCCGUCAGUCAGUCUGUCAGGAUGUCUGUCGGUCUGUAUAAGGAGCUACAGCUUAACCGGAUUUCAAACUUGGUAUGUAGCAGUUUUUAGAUCCUGUACAGAGGUGUUUUGGAAUUAAUUUUUUUGGACCAAAAAUAAAGAAAUUCUCAUUAACGGUGCCUUCCAAAGAACAGUUUUUUAAAUUUCAUAAUUAUCUCCCAAAUUAAUUUUAACGAAUUUUUUUAUGCAAAAACAUUUGUAUUGCCU